UUCCCCUGAGGUUCGAUUAGCAUGCGAGUCGAGGUAGCGAUACAGGGCGUACGUGCUCAGUAACACGGGGACAACCUACCCUUAGGACAGGUAUAAACCCGGGAAACUGGGUAUAAUCCCCGAUAGUCCUCGGCUGCUGGAAUGCAUCGAGGACGAAAGCUCCGGCGCCUAAGGAUGGGUCUGCGGCCUAUCAGGUAGUAGUGGGUGUAACGUACCUACUAGCCUACGACGGGUACGGGUUGUGAGAGCAAGAGCCCGGAGAUGGAUUCUGAGACACGAAUCCAGGCCCUACGGGGUGCAGCAGGCGCGAAAACUUUACAAUGCCGGCAACGGCGAUAAGGGGACCUCGAGUGCCAGGUUACAAAUCUGGCUGUCGUGAUGCCUAAAAAGCAUUGCAUAGCAAGGGCCGGGCAAGACCGGUACCAGCCGCCGCGGUAACACCAGCGGCUCGAGUGGUAACCGUUAUUAUUGGGUCUAAAGGGUCUGUAGCCGGCCGGAUAAGUCUCUUGGGAAAUCCAGCAGCUCAACUGUUGGGCUUUCAGGAGAUACUGUCUGGCUCGAGGCCGGGAGAGGUGAGAGGUACUUCAGGGGUAGGGGUGAAAUCUUGUAAUCCUUGAAGGACCACCAGUGGCGAAGGCGUCUCACCAAAACGGACCUGACGGCAAGGGACGAAAGCUAGGGGCACGAACCGGAUUAGAUACCCGGGUAGUCCUAGCCGUAAACGAUACUCGCUAGGUGUCGGCCACGGUGCGACCGUUGUCGGUGCCGUAGGGAAGCCGUGAAGCGAGCCACCUGGGAAGUACGGCCGCAAGGCCGAAACUUAAAGGAAUUGGCGGGGGAGCACCACAACGGGUGGAGCUUGCGGUUUAAUUGGAUUCAACGCCGGG
rnacentral:rRNA from 1 species